CAGUCCUUCCUGUCUCAAUUCUUCAGGUGUGGAAACUGAGGCAGGGGGAGAGGCAACUUGCUGAGGUUGCACCGCUGGGAAGUGGAGCAGGGAUUUGAAUCC
ensembl:miRNA